UACAGAGGUCUCAAGCGUUGUUCGGAUUCAUUGGGCGUAAAGGGUGCGUAGGUGGCGAGGCAAGUCAGAUGUGAAAUCCCCGGGGGCUCAACCCCCGGAACUGCAUUUGAAACUGCCUUGCUCGAGUACUGGAGAGGAGACUGGAAUUUACGGUGUAGCAGUGAAAUGCGUAGAUAUCGUAAGGAAGACCAGUGGCGAAGGCGGGUCUCUGGACAGUUCCUGACGCUGAGGCACGAAGGUCAGGGGAGCAAACGGG
rnacentral:rRNA from 1 species